rnacentral:misc_RNA from 1 species
GUAUAUGAUAACAAAAAUGCGUGACGUUCUCGUACGUUGCGUGUUUAUUAAAAAGGACGUGAGCCCCGAACCAACGGGACCCAACGCAGAGGUGCACAGGGGUAUUAGGUUAACGUUUGACCAGGCGUGCACGUUGCCCCCAGGGGGACCAGCUACAACCUCGCCGCCACGUUUCAUUAAUGAUCCUUCCGCAGGUUCACCUACGGAAA